GCUGGCAGCUAUAUAACCCUGCAAAGCACAACUGGCAGACCACUGAAGCUAAGCAGGUGUGAGCCUGGCCAGUACCUGAAUAGGAGACCUCCUGGGAAAAGCUAAGGUUGCUGCUGGAA
rnacentral:rRNA from 1 species